UUGAUUCUGGCUCAGAGCGAACGCUGGCGGCAGGCUUAACACAUGCAAGUCGAACGCCCCGCAAGGGGAGUGGCAGACGGGUGAGUAACACGUGGGAACGUACCCUUUGGUUCGGAAUAACUUGGGGAAACUCAAGCUAAUACCGGAUAAGCCCUUAUGGGGAAAGGUUUACUGCCGAAGGAUCGGCCCGCGUCUGAUUAGCUAGUUGGUGAGGUAAUGGCUCACCAAGGCGACGAUCAGUAGCUGGUCUGAGAGGAUGAUCAGCCACACUGGGACUGAGACACGGCCCAGACUCCUACGGGAGGCAGCAGUGGGGAAUAUUGCACAAUGGGCGAAAGCCUGAUGCAGCAACGCCGCGUGAGGGAUGAAGGCCUUCGGGUUGUAAACCUCUUUUAGUUGGGAAGAAGCGAAAGUGACGGUACCAACAGAAAAAGCACCGGCUAACUACGUGCCAGCAGCCGCGGUAAUACGUAGGGUGCAAGCGCUGUCCGGAAUUAUUGGGCGUAAAGAGCUCGUAGGCGGUUUGUCGCGUCUGCUGUGAAAAUCCGAGGCUCAACCUCGGACCUGCAGUGGGUACGGGCAAACUAGAGUGCGGUAGGGGAGAAGGGAAUUCCUCGUGUAGCGGUGGAAUGCGCAGAUAUCAGGAGGAACACCAAUGGCGAAGGCACUUCUCUGGGCCGUAACUGACGCUGAGGAGCGAAAGCGUGGGGAGCGAACAGGAUUAGAUACCCUGGUAGUCCACGCCGUAAACGGUGGGUGCUAGUUGUGGGUCACAUUCCACGUGAUCCGUGACGCAGCUAACGCAUUAAGCACCCCGCCUGGGGAGUAC
rnacentral:rRNA from 1 species